AUGAGAAGUCACAGUGAUGGGUGAUGUCAGCCAUUUCCACUGCCCUGCCCUGCUUUCCCCUCUCAUCUCUAAUACUCUUCCUGUACAUUGAUUUCUUCUCUCUCUCUCUCUCUUCUGGUCAGUUAUAAAGGCUUUCAGACAUUCAGAUCAACAAACACUACCCUGUGGAUCUGGGGAAGAGGUUUCUCGAACCACGACAUGCAUCUUCACAUGAAUUCUGAAGGCUCAACUCAAUACUUGGGAGACUGGAUGAAAGCUCUCUAGGGACAGCAAGGCAAGCCCCUAGCCCAGGCAGGAAGCAUCAUCAGUACUAAUUUAAUACCAGCCAUGGCAGAUGCUGUGAGGGCUAGCAUGAAUAGGAGUCAGAAGGGUCUGUUGAGGAGGUGGAGAGACCAUAAGGGGGGGGUGGGGGUUGUUUUCUGGAGGUUAUCUGCAGUGCAUUCAGCUGGCCACACUGGGCUUGCUGUCCACAAACAUCCACACCCAAAGCUUUUUAUUCAUUUUUUUUUCUCUGUCUUUUGGAAUGGUCUCUAAGAUCACUGAGAUACUGUUACCACCGCAGGGAUAACAUCAUAGCAGCAAGUUACUCAGCAUCUCAAAGGUGAGGAGGGGUAAGGCUAAAGGCUAUGCCUGGACUACCAGAGAACAUCCCCCUUGGGGAGUGCACCCUACACUCCCAGUCCCAGGAGCAGCUCACUCCCCAGACAGAAAGCACCGUGUUCAGCCUGUCCCGCAGCGAGUCUCUCUGGACCAACGAGUCGGCCCGCAGCACAUGUGAGAUCUACUGGUUCCCAUUCCACCUCAUGUCCACCGGGGGCAGCAUCUUUGCCUGUGGCUUCAUCCUGAGUGGCCUGUAUUUUGCUGGCUACUGCAGGAAGGCCACCAACAUCCUGGGCCCGGCCCUGGUAUCCAUUGGCCUGAUGGUGCUGGUGGUGGGCGUGGUGCUGAUCCCCAUCACCAAGGAGAACAGGAAGCAGCCCACCAUGAAAAAGCCCUUCAGUUACUACAGGCAACCAGUCUUUAAAUUAUGAGGUGGGCACGGGCGGGGUAUCCCUGUCUUGUAUGCUGUGAUCCUGGAGAGUCCUCAGGCUCAAAGUCUGGUUAUCAGACCAUUUAGUUUCCCAAAAGUACAAUGGAGGAUUCGAUACUUCCCUGCUGAUCAUGGCUACACGUUCACAUGAUCAAUGUUUGCUCUAAAGACAAUUAACUUGUAGGAGGACAUGAAUCGUUCUAUUUUCUUCCACCACUACGGAUGUAUACAGCAUUUUAAUAUCUGCAUGACAAAGUAUACAUUAUAACCAAGUUACAGGUGGUUCUUUGGCAUUUGUUCUUAAGCAUUUGAAAGUACUAGAAAAUGACCAUGCUGCCAAAUAACACAAUUAUAAAUGUAGUCCACUGCUUUUAUGCAUAAUUAUUAGAAUGAGUGACAAGCAUAUUGAGAAGAAAGAUGUGUGCAUGUACAUUGAUGAGAGCAGGAUUGAGUAUUGACAGCAUGCCUUUGUGGUAGGCUACUGACUCAUGAAUAAUUCAAUAAAUAACAUAAGUGCUCAUUUGGGGUGGCCUAGUGGUUAGAGUGUUGGACCAGUAACCGAAAGGUUGCAAGAUUGAAUACCCAAGCUGACAAGGUAAAAAUCUGUUGUUCUGCCCCUGAACAAAGCAGUUAACUCAGUGUUCCUAGGCCAUCAUUGAAAAUAAGAAUUUGUUUUUAACUGACUUGCCUAGUUAAAUAAAGGUAAAAUAAAUAAAUAACAUUUGGUGAUGGAUGCAUUUUCUUUUCAGUUGCAGGCUAUAUUCAUCACAUCCACAGCCAUUACAGACUUCCAGUGAUGUGUGUGUGUUAGAUGUCAUCUCUGUGUGACACUUGACUGGCCCAACAAAUGGAAAGUGUUUAGUGCCAAGGGGAAGUGAAGAACAUCACACUUUUCAUAGCAUUUGAAUGUCCUUCUCGUGACUGGACUGAAACUUUGAUUUUACACAACCUCAAUUUUAGAGUGACUAUAAAAUACUAUUAGAAUAAUUAUGUUUCUGUUCAGAAUGCCUAUGUGACUGACUAGGUUUGUCUAAAUGUGGCAAAUGAUAUCAACGUGGUCGAUUUUGUUGAUGUAUAAGGGUAGGCAGACUAUUAUUUCCACGACAUUCCCUUAUGUAUUUUCACUUGUAGGUGAGUACUCAUUCGACUGGCAAAUUACAUUACGUCGAAAGAACUAUGUUGGCCUGCACACAAGCUGCAUCAUUUGCAUCAAGCAACAACACCAUAUGCGAGACAACCACUUCUGGUGAAUAGGCUACUGUAAAAUAAGUGCGCCAUAAGAAAGUAUAGCUCUUUUUGUUUGUCUAUUUUAUGUGUUUGCUGAUCAAUUAAAUUGUAGUCUGUUAUCGUGACAAAGGACUUUUUUUUAAAGAAGAAGAAAAUAAAUGGUGAACUGUCUACCUUUCGCUCUGAACACGUCACGUUGGGGCGGCUCUCACAGCAGGUGUGCUCUCUGGGUGCGAGAAGAAUAGGAGGAACAGAAUAGACGCACCAUCCGUUAUUUUCAGGGUGUAUCGACGCAAUGAUGGACCUUAGAUGCAUAGGCGGGUGUGUGCCGUUAUUUUGUCUGGCUAUUGGUUUUGAUGUUAUUGGUUUCAUUAUCCUGUUCAUUGGAAUUUUUGCCAAUUUGCGUAUCGAUGGCAGGUUUUAUGGCGAUUUCUUGAUUUACAGUGGUUCAAUUAUAAUUUUCAUAAGUUUGGCUUGGUGGAUUAUGUGGUACGUGGGAAAUAUACAGGUCUCAGAAGACAGCUUGGGAACAAGCUUAAUGAAAAAGAAACGGAGUUUUGUACAGUUAGCCAGAAAGUUGUCUGAGAGGCUUUCCAAAAAAUGCAAACCUGAACAUGUAACCACAAAGUAUGCCGAGGAAAACAAGGUUAAAGCUGUGACGCCUUCACCUGUUCACGUCGCCUCUCGAAUAACCUGGGGGAAAUCUUUCGGUUAUCAGAAUGGCGGCUAUGACUCCAGCUUGGACUCCUUUUCGAUGGAGAAGGAAAAACAGACACCAGAUAUACAGAACUUGGAUGUGCAGACCCUCGCUAGGGGUAAUGUUGAAAGGCUGUUCUGAUUGUUCUCCGUAGCACUUUCUGAUCCCAAGACUACCUUCAACACUGUACGCUUCACGGAAUAGGACUACAGACAAUUCAGGACAUUUAUCAGUACUGGUCUGGACAUCAGUUCUUGACAAUCAAACACUCAUCAUUAUGGGGUGAAAUGAUCCAUAGUCCUAGGGAUAUAGGCCACUGUAGAUAUUUUUCUGAAUGCAUAUUAUAUUGUUUUAGUUUUUCAUUUAUAUAUCAAUUAUUAAUAUAAUCGCCAUGUGAUGUUAUGUGAACAUUUUUUUAAUGUUGUGAUUUAUUUUAUAUUUUAUUUCUUAAUAUUCUUUAGAUUUGAGUUGCCUUACCAACAUAUAGGUUUUGACUAACAUGACUGAUAAUGAGCGUGUGCAUAUCAAGUCAUUGUACUCAGGGCGUUGCCUGUCUGUGUGCUAAUGCUACCUAAUCCUGGCCUGUUGACUCUGCUUUGCAGUCCUUGGUUGAAUAGGUAUUGCACAGAGGUAAACCAAACUCCCAUGACUGUCUGACUGGUCAAACAAGGUACUAAAAGGGAGAGGUUUUUCACUGCAGUUCCUCUUUCGGUCAUGAUGUAGGAAGCAUGAAAUAGUAAAUAAUUGUGGAAUGCGUCCAGUAGGCCUACUGCAGGCUAAAUAUAAACUGCUGAUAGAAUCACUGAAAUAUAUCUUCCCAACAUACAGUAUCUUUUCCCACACUGUUCAUAAUGUUAGAUGUCAUACAUAUAUGCUGAUGUCAUAUUUUUCAUAUCAAAUGCAUUAUUAUUUUAUACACAGAGGCAUGGUGCAUUAGAUUUUUAUUUAUGUUAAAUACACAUCCAAUGAUCUUGGUAAGCAUCCAAAAUAAAAAAUAGUUAUCUAAUGAGAUGAUCCAUUUCAAGCACUGUAAUUACAUUGCUGCAAGUCAGGGAUUGCUAAGGAAUGAGGUUGGACCAUUUGGCUUUUAUGUUUUAAUGGAUCAUUCAGAGUAGUACAACCUGUUGAUGUGGUUGGAUACCAGUUUUGCAGCUGUUUCCUACAAUGGAAGAAUUUGAAGGCGUACUGAAAAUCAGAAGAAUGCGACUUGCGUUUUAAAAAGGUUGUGGCUGGAAAGGCCUCUCCUCAUUCUUGUAAAGUCCUCAGCCGACAGGAACCCAGACAGCGUCCAUGUCCCUGCUAUGGAUACCUCUUCUAUGGGUCGCUGUGUUUUCUUUCUCAUCCUGGCUUUGGUCUUUGAUGUUGUCGGUCUGAUCCUAUUUUUCCUGGGGAUCUUUGCUCCUCUGAGUUUCUGGGACUUCUUUGUGCUGUCGGGGCCCCUGCUCAUCUUCCUCAGCCUGGUCUUCUGGAUAUUCUGGUACCUGGGGAGUCUCACAGUGCCUUACGAAGAGCUCAUCUUGCCAAAGUGACACCCAAACAUGGUCAAAGGUGAUCCACCUGACCAAUGGCUGGUCCCGCUAGACUGACAGCUUGACCCUCACAAAUUUAAGGAGUUGACAGAAUUCUGGAUUCUGGGUGUUUGACCAUGUUUCUCAUUGGACUGUGAACCAGAGGCCCUUGUUUUCUUUAAAGAAGGUUUGAGCUUUAGUUCAAGCGGUGUGUGUCUGUUUCUGAUGAUGAUGAAUAAUGAUGAAGACAUGGCUGUUGUUUAAAAAAAUAUAUAUACUUUCCUCUGUCCAGGAACCUGUUGGACCCUGGAACAACUCCAGUUGGAAGUGAAGAAUGGCAUAUGCACCUUAUUCUACCCCUAUGAUGUAGAAUGACAAGAUGUCAUGUACAGACAGCCAGGAUUUCAUUUGUGCUGGGUUGAAGUGGGACAUAAACUCUAAAGCACUUGGGUCCAUCCUUAAAGACUGCAUCAGCACAUAACUCCUUUUAUAGUAUGUGUAAAAUAAUAAAUAUUUGUUCAAAUAAA